rnacentral:piRNA from 1 species
GCUGCAACUUGCUGCCACUAGCCUUCGGAA